AGUAGAUAGGGAUAAUACAGGGUUAAAGAGGGAUAUAGUAGAUAAGGAUAGUACAGGGUUAAAGAGGGAUAUAGUGGAUAAGGAUAGUACAGGGUUAAAGAGGGAUAUAGUAGAUAGGGAUAGUACAGG